CUCAUCCUCUCCUGUCUCUGCCAUGCCAUUGAGAAGCCAGAGGCUCCUAGCUGCUUUGACCCAGGGUUCCUGCCCCCAUGUCACCUCAUUGCUGCCUCGGUGUCACCGGAGUCAGGGCUUGCUGUUGUAGCCAGCCCCACUCGGUGCCUUAUACCUCCUUGUAUCUGUUAUUGUCAUUGCUAUGACAGCUUAAAGAAGGGAGGCUUGUGGCUCACGGUUGGAGGGCGCACAGUCUCUUGUGGCAGGAAGGCGUGGAGGCAAGAGCAUGGCGGCUGCAGCCAGGAAGCAGAGGAAGGGUGCUACCGCUCAACUCACCUUUUCUCUUCUUAAUUUAGUCCCGGAUGACAUCCCAUCCUGGAAUACGCUGCUGCACACAGGAUGCUGAGCACUGAGCCUGUCUUGAGGAACCCUCGGAGCUGUCUGGCUGAUGGAGUUACUCCUCGGGGUGUGGCUGGCGGUGAUUGUAUUACCCUUUUCUUUCCAGUGUGGGCACCAGCCAGCAUUAGCCCUGCAGUGUUUGCUAUGGGCUGGCUGGAGGCUGGCAAGGGUGCUAACUGUGCUGCAGAUGUAAGAAGACCCCACUAAGGAAGGCCGGACACCCCCAGGAGCUGCACAGCAUACCUCAGAUGGGGCUCUGCAGAGUUAGCUCCCCUGACCCGAGGCUCUGGGGCCUGUGUGGGAGCCACGUCCCCACUGGCUUUGGAGGACAGCUAGAUGCCUGUGUCAGCCAGACUCUUGUACAGCCAUUGACAUGCUGACCAGGACCCUGACUGUCAGUGAUGCCUUGGGAAAUCUAGACCUUCAGAGACCCAUCCUUCGGGCUGCUCUGACCCCACCUCCCUCUGCUCUGCAGGUCAGGCCACCACCUCUCUCUGGGGGCUGCAAGGAUCUCCUGCCUGACCAUCCUGCUGGGUGUUCUCAAUGCACAGGUCACAGAGGGCCUGGGAAAACCACAUGGCACCUUGGUGGUUCCUGAGCUUGGAGUGACUCCUGGAUCCACUACACCUCACCAAUGCUAAAGCUGCAGACGUGCUGGGGAGGGGGUCCUGUGGGAGGGUCCUGCACUCUGGGGGGGGUGUUCCAUUUUGUUAGCUCCACUCCGUUUCUUCUCCCUCUUCCUCUACUCUCUGAUCUCAGCUGGGUCAGUCUUUAAUAAAAUGUCUGUGUUGUU
rnacentral:lncRNA from 1 species